GAUGCUUAUCCAGAAAUAUUUGGAUAAAUGGGCUGUGCAACUGUAAUGAAUCUCCCUCGUGGAAAGUAAGCAGCUCCCAAGGCCACUACUAGAGGGGAGGAACAAACAUCGGAGAAGGAGAGGAUGUGCUUUCUUUUGAGAAUGCUCCUGGAUUUCCCUAUUCAGUUUAGGGGCUACAGCCUUCAAAGAGGAAUGUCAGCACCAGGAACCACUUGUCCAUUUCUGAAGAGGGAACGCACAGCAAAGGCUCGCGAUGAGGACAACAUCCUCUGAAGAUGAGGAAAGUGACCUGGGAAGCAGUUAAGAAGAAAAUCAAAAAGGGUGAUGACUUCUGUCUGGGCCUCGUUGUUGUCCCUAAGAGCAAGCAAUUAGAGCAGGACAAAAGUAGUGAAAUAUGGCCCUUGCAGCUCAUGGACUUUUAGGCCAGACAGACAAGAUGUGCUAGACAGGCUGUGCAGUCUUUAAGUGCUUUCUCUCUCUGUAAAUGUGGAAGAGGCUGAUCCUGCAGAAGUUUGGCAACUUUGGCUCAGAUGUGCUAUUAUUCCCUCAAAGGAUCUUUAAGGCCUUCUGAAAAAUAAUGAGAACAAAGUGUCCCAGGGUAAAAGCAAUGUUUGUUUGCAGAAGAAAUGCCCAGAUAGGAUUUCAUAUGAUCAUCAGAUGGCUGUAAUAUUAUGCAAAAUAGCAAAAUAAAUAAAUAAAUAAAAUAAAAUAAAUAAUUGGA
rnacentral:lncRNA from 1 species